GCAUAUCAAUAAGCCCGAAGGAA
rnacentral:rRNA from 1 species